rnacentral:rRNA from 1 species
UACGGGGGGGGGCAAGCGUUGUUCGGAAUUACUGGGCGUAAAGGGCUCGUAGGCGGCCAACUAAGUCGGACGUGAAAUCCCCAGGCUCAACCUGGGAACUGCGUCCGAUACUGGAUGGCUUGAAUCCGGGAGAGGGAUGCAGAAUUCCAGGUGUAGCGGUGAAAUGCGUAGAUAUCGGGAGGAAUACCUAUGGCGAAAGCAGGCUACUGGACCGUCACUGACUCUGAUCUGCGAAAGCUAGGGGAGCAAACAGG